rnacentral:rRNA from 1 species
GAUGAACGCUGGCGGCGUGCCUAAUACAUGCAAGUCGAGCGAACAGAUGAGGAGCUUGCUCCUCUGACGUUAGCGGCGGACGGGUGAGUAACACGUGGAUAACCUACCUAUAAGACUGGGAUAACUUCGGGAAACCGGAGCUAAUACCGGAUAAUAUAUUGAACCGCAUGGUUCAAUAGUGAAAGACGGUUUUGCUGUCACUUAUAGAUGGAUCCGCGCCGCAUUUGCUAGUUGGUAAGGUAACGGCUUACCAAGGCAACGAUGCGUAGCCGACCUGAGAGGGUGAUCGGCCACACUGGAACUGAGACACGGUCCAGACUCCUACGGGAGGCAGCAGUAGGGAAUAUUCCGCAAUGGGCGAAAGCCUGACGGAGCAACGCCGCGUGAGUGAUGAAGGUCUUCGGAUCGUAAAACUCUGUUAUUAGGGAAGAACAAAUGUGUAAGUAACUAUGCACGUCUUGACGGUACCUAAUCAGAAAGCCACGGCUAACUACGUG